AAGCAUGGCGGCGGCUACCAUGCAGUCGAGCGGUAACACCUUUCACCUUGCUCUAUGGGUGGACAGGGGAGUAAGGGUGGGGUGUUCUGCCCAGUCCUUCCGGUUGAGCCUGAUAACCUGGGGAUACUUCCGCUUAUGACGUCUAGUUGCUUGACUUGAGGUGGAAAGAUUUAUCGGCCUUGGACGAUCCCAUGGCCUAAUGUCUUGUUGGUGGGGUAAUGGCCUACCAGGGCGACGACGGGUAGCCGACCUGAGAGGGUGACCGGAUGAUCUGGGACCUGGAACUGAGACCCACUCCUACACUCCUAGGGGAUGGGCAAUAUUGCAAAAUGGGACAAAGGGCGAUGCCCCGACCCCGCCCGAGGGAUUGGGGCCUUAACGCCUUAAACCUCUUUCACCCUUGACUAGGCAAAAAUGACGGUACCUGCAAAAGAAGCACCGGAUAACUGCAUGCCAACAACCGCGGUAAUACGUAUGGUGCAAGCGUUGCCCGGAAUUACUGGGGGUGAAAACUUCACACGCGGUUUGUGGCGUCAUUUGGGAAAACCAUCAUCUCAACUGUUGGCUUGCAAGCGAUUCGGGCCAACUUGAGUACUGCAGGGGAUACUGGAAUUUGUGAUGUAGCGAUAAAAUGCCCAAAUAUCAGGAGGAACACCGGUGGGGAUGGAGGGUCUCAGGGCAGUAACUGACGCUGACAAAUAACUGCACGAGUAUUGAAAUGAUGAGCUACCCUGUUAGUCCACACCGUGUUUAGUGACCGCGAGGGGUGGGUUUUUCCACAUAAUCAGUGCCGUAUCUGACGCAUUAGGCGCCCCCUCCUGGAGAGUACGGCUGUAAAGGCUUAAAUCUCGGAGAAUUUGAUGGGGAGCCCCGCA
rnacentral:rRNA from 1 species